AGUGAACGCUGGCGGUAGGCCUAACACAUGCAAGUCGAACGGCAGCACAGUAAGAGCUUGCUCUUACGGGUGGCGAGUGGCGGACGGGUGAGGAAUACAUCGGAAUCUACUUUUUCGUGGGGGAUAACGUAGGUAAACUUACGCUAAUACCGCAUACGACCUACGGGUGAAAGCAGGGGAUCUUCUGACCUUGCGCGAUUGAAUGAGCCGAUGUCGGAUUAGCUAGUUGGCGGGGUAAAGGCCCACCAAGGCGACGAUCCGUAGCUGGUCUGAGAGGAUGAUCAGCCGCACUGGAACUGGGACACGGUCCAGACUCCUGCGGGAGGCAGCAGUGGGGAAUAUGGGACAAUGGGCGGAAGCCUGAUCCAGCCAUACCGCGUGGGUGAAGAAGGCCUUCGGGUUGUAAAGCCCUUUUGUUGGGAAAGAAAAGCAGCAGGUUAAUACCCCGCUGUUCUGACGGUACCCAAAGAAUAAGCACCGGCUAACUUCGUG
rnacentral:rRNA from 1 species